CCUACGGGUGGCUGCAGUGGGGAAUAUUGGACAAUGGGCGAAAGCCUGAUCCAGCCAUGCCGCGUGUGUGAAGAAGGCCUUCGGGUUGUAAAGCACUUUCAGUGGGGAAGAAAGCCUUGGGGCUAAUACCCUCGAGGAAGGACAUCACCCACAGAAGAAGCACCGGCUAACACCGUGCCAGCAGCCGCGGUAAUACGGAGGGUGCGAGCGUUAAUCGGAAUUACUGGGCGUAAAGCGCGCGUAGGCGGUCUGAUAAGCCGGUUGUGAAAGCCCCGGGCUCAACCUGGGAACGGCAUCCGGAACUGUCAGGCUAGAGUGCAGGAGAGGAAGGUAGAAUUCCCGGUGUAGCGGUGAAAUGCGUAGAGAUCGGGAGGAAUACCAGUGGCGAAGGCGGUCUUCUGGACUGACACUGACGCUGAGGUGCGAAAGCGUGGGUAGCAAACAGGAUUAGAUACCCUGGUAGUC
rnacentral:rRNA from 1 species